rnacentral:misc_RNA from 1 species
GCCCGUCUGGCACGCUCACGCAGACGGCCAGCAGGAUCGCCGCCAGCGUCUUGCCGGUGAACGCCACCAGGCUGCGGCCCCAGCGCCGGCUGCCGGUCGCGCGGAUCAGCCAGUCGUUGAGCACGCCGCCGACCGCCCCGCCGAUCGCCCCGCCCCACAGCGGCAGGCUGGCGUACACCCCCAUCGCCGCCCGGCUCAGGUUUUUCUCGCCUUCCAGGAACAGCGGCACCCAGUAGACGAACAGCUGAUCGACGAAGGUGCUGGCGAAGGCGUAGAUCAGCAUCGCCCCGACCGUCGCCACAUUGGCGGCGCUCCAGUCGAUGCGCGCCUUCUGU